UAGUCCACGCCGUAAACGAUGGAUACUAGGUGUCCGGGAAGUUAACCUCCUGGGUACUACAGCUAACGCGUUAAGUAUCCCGCCUGGGGAGUACGGACGCAAGGUUAAAACUCAAAGGAAUUGACGGGGGCCCGCACAAGCGGUGGAACAUGUGGUUUAAUUCGACGAUACGCGAGGAACCUUACCUGGACUUAAAUGUAGAUUGCAUAGAGUAGAAAUAUUCUUUUCUUCGGACUAUCUACAAGGUGCUGCAUGGUUGUCGUCAGCUCGUGCCGUGAGGUGUCGGGUUAAGUCCCAUAACGAGCGCAACCCCUAUCGUUAGUUGCUAACAGGUCAAGCUGAGGACUCUGACGAGACUGCCGGUGUAAACCGCGAGGAAGGUGGGGAUGACGUCAAAUCAGCACGGCCCUUACGUUCAGGGCUACACACGUGUUACAAUGGCCGAUACAGAGGGCAGCUACCUGGCAACAGGAUGCGAAUCUCGAAAAUUGGUCUCAGUUCGGAUCGGAGUCUGCAACUCGACU
rnacentral:rRNA from 1 species